ACCAAAGAGAGAGGGGAGUGAUAAUAUUUGGAACAGAUCACGAGGGAGUGACGAGCCGAUCAAAUUUCUGCCCUAUCAACUUUGGACGGUAGUAUAGAGGACAACCGUGGUGAUAACGGGUAACGGAGAAUGAGGGUUUGAUUCCGGAGAAGGGGCAUGAGAAAUGGCCACUACAACCAAGGUAGGCAGCAGGCGCGUAAAAUUACCCAAUCCUGACAGAGGGAGGUAGUGACAAUAAAUAACAAUGAAUUUAUGGAAAGUAAGUUGAAUUGGAAUGAGAACAAUAUAAAACCCUUAUCGAGGAACAAUUUCAGGGCAAGUUCUGGUGCCAGCAGCCGCGGUAAUUCCAGCUGAAAAAGCGUAUACGAAUAUUGUUGCAGUUAAAAACGCUCGUAGUUGGAAAGAAUAAGUUAUUUUUCUUUUUUAAAAUAAAAAAAAAAAUAAAUUAAUUUACUUAGUAGAACG
rnacentral:rRNA from 1 species